CCUAUUUUGAAAAAAGGCUAGAGACCUAAUUCAAUUCCCCUCCCCUUGAAAGAAACCACAGAAACGGCGCAUCUGAGAUUUCUUCCUCUUAUCCAUUCUUUCUUCUUCCCCACUUCUCACUCAACCCAAGCGACCACCGUGAAGAACAGACCAUCACCCCUUCCGGUCUGCUCACACCUCUUCGUCUCACCUCUCUUAGGACUCAAAGAAAGAUCUGAAAUUCUGAAAAAGGGGAAAAAACAAAGAGAUAAAGAAAAAAAACAAAGAAGAAAUAAGAAUUAGACAUUGGGAUUUGAAGAGAAGAGCUUGAUUUCUUUUCUUCCCAGAUUUCACAAGUUGCUUCACUUAGCUGACAUUCUGUGCAAUAUCUGGGAUUUUCGAGUUUAGAUCGAGCUAUUAAAGGACUAUUUUUGCUGAAAUCGUUGUUGCUGCUUAGUUAAGCUCGGUUCAUCUUCGUCUCUAUCUUUACUUGGCUCAUUGUGGACUAUUUUUUCGGCUAUUCAGCUACUGAAAAUUAAUUGAAAUCUAAAUUUCAGGUUUGAUCGACAAAGUGACGAAAUAUCAAAGAUCGGCUCAGACGGAGUGAAACCUACUCAAGUAUCAAAGACAAAGUAAACUGAGGGCAAACAAGCCUAGUGCGGACCGCACAAAAUGGAAUGCGGCCGCACUAGGUGAUUCAGAGAGAUGGCAAGAUCAGGCUUCAAGCAACGCGGCCGCAAUCCACAGUGCGCGGUCUGCGGUGAAAGUUUCGUGGUCGCACUGCCUUUUUGUGCGGUACACGAAAGAGGUAUUCAGAUAGAUGACAAAAACCAGGCCUCAGGAAACGCGACCGCAGUCCAUAGUGUGUGGUCCACGGUGAAGGUUCCGCGGCCGAACUGCCUUCUUGUGCGGUCCGCGGAAGAGAUAUUCAGAGAGAUGGAAAAUGCUAACGCGGUCUACGGUCAUUAUUGUGUGGACCGCGAUAGCUGCCUCCGCGGCCGCGGUCCAUUUUACGCGAUCCGCGAAGCCCAAGUCAAAGAACCCAAAAUUAAAGUCCAAGAGCCUAGCACAGCAGCGGUCCAUUUUACGCGGCCCGCACUGACCCCGCAUGGGUAUUUUUUUCCAGUUUUUCCAGCCUAGUUUAAAUAGAACAAUUUAUCAUUUUUAGGUUAUGAGAUAUAUCCAGAACUUAGCUGGGCUCGUGGGAACUUCAUCUGUAGCCAUUUUUGGCAUCUUAGCUUCAAGUUAACGAUAGAUUCUUGUAUUUU